AUUGAACGCUGGCGGCAGGCCUAACACAUGCAAGUCGAACGCGUGGCGGACGGGUGAGUAAUGUCCGGGAAACUGCCUGAUGGAGGGGGAUAACUACUGGAAACUGUAGCUACUACCGCAUACCAUCGGAUGUGCCCAGAUGGGAUUUGCUAGUAGGUGGGGUAAAGGCUCACCUAGGCGACGAUCCCUAGCUGGUCUGAGAGGAUGACCAGCCACACUGGAACGGAGACACGGGCCAGACUCCUACGGGAGGCAGCAGUGGGGAAUAGUGCACAAUGGGCGCAAGCCGGAGGCAGCCAUGCCGCGUGUAUGAAGAAGGCCUUCGGGUUGUAAAGUACUUUCAGCGGGGAGGCGUUACCCGCAGAAGAAGCACCGGCUAACUCCGUGACAGCAGCCGCGGUAAUAC
rnacentral:rRNA from 1 species